CAGUACUCUGCACAUUGGUUA
rnacentral:miRNA from 1 species